rnacentral:rRNA from 1 species
UACGUAGGAUCCAAGCGUUGUCCGGAUUUACUGGGUGUAAAGGGUGCGCAGGCGGACUUGUAAGUCAGGGGUGAAAUCUCACAGCUCAACUGUGAAACUGCCUUUGAUACUGCAAGUCUUGGAUCCAGAAGAGAGUUGUGGAAUUCCGAGUGUAGCAGUGAAAUGUGUAGAUAUUCGGAAGAACACCAGUGGCGAAGGCGGGUCUCUGGGCCGAUACUGACGCUGAGGAGCGAAAGCGUGGGGAGCGAACAGG